UAAUACUGCACGCAUGCUGAAACGAUACGACUAUAUAUCUUUGAUAUUUAAAAUGUCACAUCAUAUUUCUUAUAAAGUAAUAGAAGGUCCCGAUGGAGCCCCAAUUUUCGACAUAACAGAAAUGUCAAAAGUUUUAUUACACGACAAAAUAACAGGUAAAAUUGAUUUCAUUUCUGUAACUGAUCACAUUCUUGAUGUGUUGAAACCGUAUGGAUUCAAGAUGUUGUUACCACCUGAAAAAGAUGCUGUUGUAGUCAUUUCAUCUGACUGUACAUCUCAUUCAGAGGAAACUGAGAACAUAGAUCCGAGAAUCUUAAAAGAGAGUAAUGGAAGAACUUUGAAUAAAGAAAUGAAAAAUAUGUGGACAGAUAAAAGUAGAGCAAUGCUUCUACACUUAUACAAAAAGUACAAAUGUGAUUUUGAUUCCAAUAUCAAAAAAGAUGAUGUCUGGACUAAAAUUACUUGUGACAUGAAAUGCGAAGGUUAUAAUUUUUCUGCGACACAAUGCAAAGAAAAAAUGAAAUAUAUGAAAAAAAGUACUUUAAAAAAAUAGAUAACAUGGGUCCUAAAAAUACUGGUGCAGCACCAUUAAAAUGUGAUAACUUCGAAGAACUUGACGAACUGUUUGGAAAUAAGCCCACGUUAUUCCUGUCGCUAUCGCUAGUUCAUCAGAAAAUGAUAAUAGAUCGAAAGUUAUGCAGGGGGAGUUUAGCGAUGUAAAAGAUUGUGAAAAGAAACAGCGAAAGAGAGCGAGUGCAAUAACUCUUAGCGAUCUGAAAAUGAUACUUGAAGAAAAAGAAAAAACGAAAAAAGCCAGACAUGAACAAAGACAAGAACUUCUUCGACAAAGUAUAACUUCUCACGAACGCAUGAUGGACAAAUUACUGGAUAAGUUUUAAGUUGCGAGAAGAUUGCUUUUGUUCCGUCCAAUUUAUUAUAUUGCAACAUAAAUAUACAUAUAUA